UACGUAGGGUCCGAGCGUUAAUCGGAAUUACUGGGCGUAAAGCGUGCGCAGGCGGUUUUGUAAGCCAGAUGUGAAAUCCCCGGGCUUAACCUGGGAACUGCAUUUGGGACUGCAAGGCUUGAGUACAGCAGAGGGGGGUAGAAUUCCUGGUGUAGCAGUGAAAUGCGUAGAUAUCAGGAGGAAUACCGAUGGCGAAGGCAGCCCCCUGGGUUGAUACUGACGCUCAUGCACGAAAGCGUGGGGAGCAAACAGG
rnacentral:rRNA from 1 species